UACGAAGGGGGCUAGCGUUGCUCGGAAUCACUGGGCGUAAAGGGCGCGUAGGCGGCCAUUCAAGUCAGAGGUGAAAGCCCAAGGCUCAACCUUGGAACUGCCUUUGAUACUGUUUGGCUUGAGACCGGUAGAGGUAAGUGGAACUGCGAGUGUAGAGGUGAAAUUCGUAGAUAUUCGCAAGAACACCGGUGGCGAAGGCGGCUCACUGGCUCGUAACUGACGCUCAUGCACGACAGCGUGGGGAUCAAACAGG
rnacentral:rRNA from 1 species